CUCAACUAGAACGCGCUUCGGCUGCUGGAUCGUGGGUCACCAGAGCCGCCAUAUUAGUGAUGGCAAUUUCUUCAUUACUUUCAUUGCAACUGUACAGUUUGGGGCUGUACAACCCGUCACACACCUCAAAACAAGUCUCGGGAAAUUCAACUUUCACAAGUGUGAGCAAAAAUGUGGCGUUUUGGGUGUGUCCUCUUAAAUGCAAAUGAGUUGAUUAAUGGGCGGUAUUAUCCCCUUCUGACAUCACAAGGGGAGCCAAAUUUCAAUGACCUAUUUUUUCAUAUGGUUGCAGAGAAUGGUUUACCAAAACGAACUUACUGCCUUGCAUCAGGAGGUGGUGGUGUCUGCUGCUUUUGGAGAAUUUCCCUUUGAGGUCAGAGUCAGACGCUGAAAGAAAGCAACUCCGAAAAAGAGGAGAGUAAACAUGGAUAUCAGCUGACGUCACUCACUUGUCUUCCGCCAUUUAGAGGACCUGAAGUGGUCCGAUUUCCGAAACUGCUGUGAAAGUGCUGGAUCUCAUUUACAUCAUUGACAGAAAAUACACUUUUGAUUAGUAAAUUAGUUAGGUAAUGAUCUUUACCAUUAUGUACCAACAACCACAGAAUUACACUAUUAACUUUACAUGUUCAUAACAAAUGUGGUGCAUUAACAUAAAGUUAACACAACCAGGGAAAAAACUAGCUAGCAAAAAGUCAAGAGUCCAACUAAAACAAACACUAAUCACAAUAAUGGUGACUUAAAAUUAAACAAAACAUCGACAUCUAAGCCUAAUAAGUGAAUUGUGUUUUCUACAGCAAUAUAUUUACUGAACAUUCAGAAAUAAUGUUUUAUAAAAUAAUAAAAUGCAGUGUUUCUCUAUCAUUUACAUAACAGUCAAACAUGUCAAUAUAAUAAACAGUUGUUGUUUUAAACAUUGUGUGAACAUUAUAACAUGACAUUGUCAUAACGUUUAAAAAUGGUAAAAUGUAACAUUCCUCUAAUGUUCAGACAACACAAAAACGUUCUUAGAACGUCAAGAAAACUGGACACUUUUUUCGUUGGCAGAACGUUUUUGGGAACCUUGGGAACUUUCAGGGAACGUUCUUAGAACUUUUUUCUGUUAGCUGGGAAUGUUCUCAAUGCUCGCGUUCAUGUGUAGAGAUCCAAGAUACUUCGAGCAAAGUUUCAUGUUGUGUCGCGCCUUCUUAUGUUGUAAAAUAGUGGUAGUUCGGUAGCAGCGGACAGCGGCUGGAAGAACGCAUCAGGGAUCAAGUAGGCAUCACACCCCAAACAAGAUGUAUUUUUUUAAAGUAGCGUUUAUUUUCAUGUUGUCUUUCGUAGCCCUUUACUGUAUCCGUAAGAAUCAUAGACAGUAAAAGAUAAGAAAUCCGUAAAUCGUAGCAAGGUAGCCAAUUCUUGUCAAUAACCUACUGGUACUCGGUAGGUCCUCAAGAU